GGGGAGUAACAUAUAAAGAUAUGAAGAAAAACAGAAAUGUGAACCGGACGCGUGUUCUCUCUUAUCUGAACACACCUUUCUAUUUCCUCUCUCCCUCGCAAGCUCUGCUCGGUUAGACGAGAUUCCGAAACUUUGCGAUCCGCGGUAAAUUCCGAAGGUCGGUCGGGUGCUCGUCCGCGUCAGUCCAGUACUCGUCCCCGCCAGUCGAGUUGCCGUUCUCUUUGUCAGGAAGGCGGUUUCCGUGGUCGAUAGCGUACGGACAGGUAAUGGCAGCGGCAGACAGUACCUUUGUGGGAUCUCUACCCACGGACGCUGGCAAGAAUGCCCAGAGUCUGCCCAGAUACGCGGCGCCUCGCGAGAUCGGCAGUUUCUCGGUCGUCGGAAAGAACCGAGAAUACUUGGGCGACCGUUCCGAGCUCAAGUACCUGUGCAUGCCCAAGGAGCCCGACGCGCUGAGCUGGGACCUGAACAGCGGAAUGCCCGAGGCAGUGUGGGCGGACGCCGGGAAGCCCAGGAAUCUGAAUAGGCUCCUGAGGUGGAUAACGGAAAACUGGCAAUUGCUUGCUCCCCACCAAGGUUCCAAAAGGGAGAGUCUGGGUGUAGACUUUGUCUGCAAGCGAGGCCUACUCUCUCGGUUGGCUCGCACACCGUACAAGACCUACGACAAAUGGCUGUUUUCUGCCACGCUCUUCAGGGGCACCAUCUACUUGUGCGAGGUCACGAGCGAAUCUCGAGCAGCUUGGGAGACUGAGAAUUCCGAGGCCGUACGGCAGGCGGAGUUUUGGGGCCACAAGUUCAAGAAGUUGAUGGCGUCCGCUCAGCCUGGGAUGUCCCCCGACAUGGACGCCCCCCUGAUCUGCUUCGACCAGUUCUACGUCGUGCUGAAAGGGAGGCUGGAGUCCCACUCGCUGCUUUUCACCACCGAAGUGGACGCCAUCGACAGCGAUGUGCCGCACGAUCCCGGGUCCACGGCUGCUUACGUCAAGCUCAGGAGUACCAGAUACACGAAUUGUAUGAGCCAAGUGCUCAAGUUCCACAGGAAUAAGCUUCUGACUUAUUGGAGCCAGUGCUUUCUAGAAGGCUUUCCCAGAGUCCUGAUCGGCUUUCGAACUAUGGACGACGAGGUGCGGUCCAUCAAGAGCUACAGCGUCGAAGAGAUGCAAGACCUCGGAAAGGGCUUUGACCCUGCUCUGCUUGGCCUUGUACUUGCCCCACUGAACCCUGGGCCUGCCCAGCUCGGGUGCUGCCUAGGUUACGCCUGCCACCCUCCCGGUCCGCGGCACAAAGACAAUAUCAAUGGUCAGGGAGAGCCUGCCUGAGCUUCCUCGACAAACUCCUGUCUUUCAUUAAGGACUGCGUGACCGAAGACGAUCCAGACGUGGUGUAUUUCUUCAGCUACGACAUCAAAAAGGAAAAGGAAGUAACCUGCAGGAGGCUCUCAAAACCAGGCAAAUUUAAGUUUU
rnacentral:misc_RNA from 1 species